UAACUCUGGUUUCUCUUCAGAUCAUAUAAAUCUUUCACCUUUUACUAAAGAUUUCUGUGGAGAGAAACAAAACUAAGUUUUCAGUCAAUCUUUUUUUUUGGUUUUUGGUCACACCUGG